CAUUCGAUACGGGCAAACUAGAGUUUGGUAGGGGAGACUGGAAUUCCUGGUGUAGCGGUGGAAUGCGCAGAUAUCAGGAGGAACACCAAUGGCGAAGGCAGGUCUCUGGGCCAAUACUGACACUGAGGAGCGAAAGUCUGGGGAGCGAACAGGAUUAGAUACCCUGGUAGUCCAGACCGUAAACGGUGGGCACUAGUUGUGGGAACCUUCCACGGUUUCUGCGACGCAGCUAACGCAUUAAGUGCCCCGCCUGGGGAGUACGAUCGCAAGAUUAAAACUCAAAGGAAUUGACGGGGCCCCGCACAAGCAGCGGAGCAUGCGGCUUAAUUCGACGCAACGCGAAGAACCUUACCAAGGCUUGACAUAUAGGGAAAAGUGGCAGAGAUGUCAUGUCCGCGAGGGCUCUAUACAGGUGGUGCAUGGUUGUCGUCAGCUCGUGUCGUGAGAUGUUGGGUUAAGUCCCGCAACGAGCGCAACCCUCGUUCUGUGUUGCCAGCAUUUAGUUGGGGACUCACAGGAGACUGCCGGGGUUAACUCGGAGGAAGGUGGGGAUGACGUCAAAUCAUCAUGCCCCUUAUGUCUUGGGCUGCACGCAUGCUACAAUGGCCGGUACAGAGGGCUGCAAUACCGCAAGGUGGAGCGAAUCCCAAAAAGCCGGUCUCAGUUCGGAUUGAG
rnacentral:rRNA from 1 species